rnacentral:rRNA from 1 species
UGGCUCAGGACGAACGCUGGCGGCGUGCCUAACACAUGCAAGUCGAGCGAGGAGAUUCCUUCGGGAUGAUCCUAGCGGCGGACGGGUGAGUAACACGUGGGCAACCUGCCUCAUAGAGAGGAAUAGCCUUCCGAAAGGGAGAUUAAUACCUCAUAACAUUGCAGUUUCGCAUGGAACAGCAAUUAAAGGAGUAAUCCGCUAUGAGAUGGGCCCGCGGCGCAUUAGCUAGUUGGUGAGGUAACGGCUCACCAAGGCGACGAUGCGUAGCCGACCUGAGAGGGUGAUCGGCCACAUUGGGACUGAGACACGGCCCAGACUCCUACGGGAGGCAGCAGUGGGGAAUAUUGCACAAUGGGGGAAACCCUGAUGCAAGCAACGCCGCGUGAGUGAUGACGGCCUUCGGGUUGUAAAGCUCUGUCUUCAGGGACGAUAAUGACGGUACCUGAGGAGGAAGCCACGGCUAACUACGUGCCAGCCGCAGC